AUGGCUUCAGCAGCAUGGACGUGAACACCGGAACAGGACAGGGAAGACGAGCGCGGCCCCUGCAUAAGGAUGACGUGCAAAUUCGUGAUGCGUUCCAUAAUUUU